rnacentral:rRNA from 1 species
UACGAAGGGGGCUAGCGGUGUUCGGAAUCACUGGGCGUAAAGCGCACGUAGGCGGCUUGUUAAGUCAGGGGUGAAAUCCUGGAGCUCAACUCCAGAACUGCACUUGAUACUGGCAAGCUGGAGUGUAGGAGAGGUUGGUGGAACUGCGAGUGUAGAGGUGAAAUUCGUAGAUAUUCGCAAGAACACCAGUGGCGAAGGCGGCCAACUGGCCUACUACUGACGCUGAGGUGCGAAAGCUUGGGGAGCAAACAGG